rnacentral:rRNA from 1 species
CCGCCGCUGGCGGCAGGCUUAACACAUGCAAGUCGAGCGCCCCGCAGGGGAGCGGCAGACGGGUGAGUAACGCGUGGGAACGUACCAUUUGCUACGGAAUAACUCAGGGAAACUUGUGCUAAUACCGUAUGUGCCCUUCGGGGGAAAGAUUUAUCGGCAAAUGAUCGGCCCGCGUUGGAUUAGCUAGUUGGUGGGGUAAAGGCUCACCAAGGCGACGAUCCAUAGCUGGUCUGAGAGGAUGAUCAGCCACACUGGGACUGAGACACGGCCCAGACUCCUACGGGAGGCAGCAGUGGGGAAUAUUGGACAAUGGGCGCAAGCCUGAUCCAGCCAUGCCGCGUGAGUGAUGAAGGCCCUAGGGUUGUAAAGCUCUUUCACCGGUGAAGAUAAUGACGGUAACCGGAGAAGAAGCCCCGGCUAACUUCGUGCCAGCAGCCGCGGUUAAUA